GAAACAAUUCAUCGACCAGCCAAUGGGCGGCGGUGAUAAAGCAGUGAAACAAAUCAUCAACCAGCCAAUGGACGACAAAGCAGUGAAACAAUUCGUCAAGUCGUUGUCUUAAAUGAAGAAUUAUUUAAGCAGCUUCAGUUCAGUUUAAAACUAAGAUGCAGCGUCAAAUUGUCGGCUGUAAACAAGAGGAACCGCAGAUAAGCGUGUUGGAGCUGGAUUGGCUGCGGCCCUCCAGAUACUGAGUUUGAUGCCUGUGCAUCAGAUGGCAACAUGCUUCAAGUCUCUCAGCGUUUCUCCAGCCUCGGUCAUUCAGUAAGACGAGUUUCCUGCUCUCGGCGUCUUUUGUUCUGGUCAUCAAGGAGGGGGGAAUGUUCUGCGCAUGC